GGUUAAGCGACUAAGCGUACACGGUGGAUGCCCUGGCAGUCAGAGGCGAUGAAGGACGUGCUAAUCUGCGAUAAGCGUCGGUAAGGUGAUAUGAACCGUUAUAACCGGCGAUUUCCGAAUGGGGAAACCCAGUGUGUUUCGACACACUAUCAUUAACUGAAUCCAUAGGUUAAUGAGGCGAACCGGGGGAACUGAAACAUCUAAGUACCCCGAGGAAAAGAAAUCAACCGAGAUUCUCCCAGUAGCGGCGAGCGAACGGGGAGCAGCCCAGAGCCUGAAUCAGUGUGUGUGUUAGUGGAAGCGUCUGGAAAGGCGCGCGAUACAGGGUGACAGCCCCGUACACAAAAAUGCACAUGCUGUGAGCUCGAUGAGUAGGGCGGGACACGUGGUAUCCUGUCUGAAUAUGGGGGGACCAUCCUCCAAGGCUAAAUACUCCUGACUGACCGAUAGUGAACCAGUACCGUGAGGGAAAGGCGAAAAGAACCCCGGCGAGGGGAGUGAAAAAGAACCUGAAACCGUGUACGUACAAGCAGUGGGAGCACGCUUAGGCGUGUGACUGCGUACCUUUUGUAUAAUGGGUCAGCGACUUAUAUUCUGUAGCAAGGUUAACCGAAUAGGGGAGCCGAAGGGAAACCGAGUCUUAACUGGGCGUUAAGUUGCAGGGUAUAGACCCGAAACCCGGUGAUCUAGCCAUGGGCAGGUUGAAGGUUGGGUAACACUAACUGGAGGACCGAACCGACUAAUGUUGAAAAAUUAGCGGAUGACUUGUGGCUGGGGGUGAAAGGCCAAUCAAACCGGGAGAUAGCUGGUUCUCCCCGAAAGCUAUUUAGGUAGCGCCUCGUGAAUUCAUCUCCGGGGGUAGAGCACUGUUUCGGCAAGGGGGUCAUCCCGACUUACCAACCCGAUGCAAACUGCGAAUACCGGAGAAUGUUAUCACGGGAGACACACGGCGGGUGCUAACGUCCGUCGUGAAGAGGGAAACAACCCAGACCGCCAGCUAAGGUCCCAAAGUCAUGGUUAAGUGGGAAACGAUGUGGGAAGGCCCAGACAGCCAGGAUGUUGGCUUAGAAGCAGCCAUCAUUUAAAGAAAGCGUAAUAGCUCACUGGUCGAGUCGGCCUGCGCGGAAGAUGUAACGGGGCUAAACCAUGCACCGAAGCUGCGGCAGCGACACUAUGUGUUGUUGGGUAGGGGAGCGUUCUGUAAGCCUGUGAAGGUGUGCUGUGAGGCAUGCUGGAGGUAUCAGAAGUGCGAAUGCUGACAUAAGUAACGAUAAAGCGGGUGAAAAGCCCGCUCGCCGGAAGACCAAGGGUUCCUGUCCAACGUUAAUCGGGGCAGGGUGAGUCGACCCCUAAGGCGAGGCCGAAAGGCGUAGUCGAUGGGAAACAGGUUAAUAUUCCUGUACUUGGUGUUACUGCGAAGGGGGGACGGAGAAGGCUAUGUUGGCCGGGCGACGGUUGUCCCGGUUUAAGCGUGUAGGCUGGUUUUCCAGGCAAAUCCGGAAAAUCAAGGCUGAGGCGUGAUGACGAGGCACUACGGUGCUGAAGCAACAAAUGCCCUGCUUCCAGGAAAAGCCUCUAAGCAUCAGGUAACAUCAAAUCGUACCCCAAACCGACACAGGUGGUCAGGUAGAGAAUACCAAGGCGCUUGAGAGAACUCGGGUGAAGGAACUAGGCAAAAUGGUGCCGUAACUUCGGGAGAAGGCACGCUGAUAUGUAGGUGAAGUCCCUCGCGGAUGGAGCUGAAAUCAGUCGAAGAUACCAGCUGGCUGCAACUGUUUAUUAAAAACACAGCACUGUGCAAACACGAAAGUGGACGUAUACGGUGUGACGCCUGCCCGGUGCCGGAAGGUUAAUUGAUGGGGUUAGCCGCAAGGCGAAGCUCUUGAUCGAAGCCCCGGUAAACGGCGGCCGUAACUAUAACGGUCCUAAGGUAGCGAAAUUCCUUGUCGGGUAAGUUCCGACCUGCACGAAUGGCGUAAUGAUGGCCAGGCUGUCUCCACCCGAGACUCAGUGAAAUUGAACUCGCUGUGAAGAUGCAGUGUACCCGCGGCAAGACGGAAAGACCCCGUGAACCUUUACUAUAGCUUGACACUGAACAUUGAGCCUUGAUGUGUAGGAUAGGUGGGAGGCUUUGAAGUGUGGACGCCAGUCUGCAUGGAGCCGACCUUGAAAUACCACCCUUUAAUGUUUGAUGUUCUAACGUUGACCCGUAAUCCGGGUUGCGGACAGUGUCUGGUGGGUAGUUUGACUGGGGCGGUCUCCUCCUAAAGAGUAACGGAGGAGCACGAAGGUUGGCUAAUCCUGGUCGGACAUCAGGAGGUUAGUGCAAUGGCAUAAGCCAGCUUGACUGCGAGCGUGACGGCGCGAGCAGGUGCGAAAGCAGGUCAUAGUGAUCCGGUGGUUCUGAAUGGAAGGGCCAUCGCUCAACGGAUAAAAGGUACUCCGGGGAUAACAGGCUGAUACCGCCCAAGAGUUCAUAUCGACGGCGGUGUUUGGCACCUCGAUGUCGGCUCAUCACAUCCUGGGGCUGAAGUAGGUCCCAAGGGUAUGGCUGUUCGCCAUUUAAAGUGGUACGCGAGCUGGGUUUAGAACGUCGUGAGACAGUUCGGUCCCUAUCUGCCGUGGGCGCUGGAGAACUGAGGGGGGGCUGCUCCUAGUACGAGAGGACCGGAGUGGACGCAUCACUGGUGUUCGGGUUGUCAUGCCAAUGGCACUGCCCGGUAGCUAAAUGCGGAAGAGAUAAGUGCUGAAAGCAUCUAAGCACGAAACUUGCCCCGAGAUGAGUUCUCCCUGACUCCUUGAGAGUCCUGAAGGAACGUUGAAGACGACGACGUUGAUAGGCCGGGUGUGUAAGCGCAGCGAUGCGUUGAGCUAACCGGUACUAAUGAACCGUGAGGCUUAACCUU
rnacentral:rRNA from 1 species